GACGAACGCUGGCGGCGUGCUUAACACAUGCAAGUCGAACGGAAAGGCCCUGCUUUUGUGGGGUGCUCGAGUGGCGAACGGGUGAGUAACACGUGAGUAACCUGCCCUUGACUUUGGGAUAACUUCAGGAAACUGGGGCUAAUACCGGAUAGGAGCUCCUGCUGCGUGGUGGGGGUUGGAAAGUUUCGGCGGUUGGGGAUGGACUCGCGGCUUAUCAGCUUGUUGGUGGGGUAGUGGCUUACCAAGGCUUUGACGGGUAGCCGGCCUGAGAGGGUGACCGGCCACAUUGGGACUGAGAUACGGCCCAGACUCCUACGGGAGGCAGCAGUGGGGAAUAUUGCACAAUGGGCGGAAGCCUGAUGCAGCAACGCCGCGUGCGGGAUGACGGCCUUCGGGUUGUAAACCGCUUUCGCCUGUGACGAAGCGUGAGUGACGGUAAUGGGUAAAGAAGCACCGGCUAACUACGUGCCAGCAGCCGCGGUGAUACGUAGGGUGCGAGCGUUGUCCGGAUUUAUUGGGCGUAAAGGGCUCGUAGGUGGUUGAUCGCGUCGGAAGUGUAAUCUUGGGGCUUAACCCUGAGCGUGCUUUCGAUACGGGUUGACUUGAGGAAGGUAGGGGAGAAUGGAAUUCCUGGUGGAGCGGUGGAAUGCGCAGAUAUCAGGAGGAACACCAGUGGCGAAGGCGGUUCUCUGGGCCUUUCCUGACGCUGAGGAGCGAAAGCGUGGGGAGCGAACAGGCUUAGAUACCCUGGUAGUCCACGCUGUAAACGGUGGGUACUAGGUGUGGGGUCCAUUCCACGGGUUCCGUGCCGUAGCUAACGCUUUAAGUACCCCGCCUGGGGAGUACGGCCGCAAGGCUAAAACUCAAAGGAAUUGACGGGGCCCCGCACAAGCGGCGGAGCAUGCGGAUUAAUUCGAUGCAACGCGUAGAACCUUACCUGGGUUUGACAUGGAUCGGGAGUGCUCAGAGAUGGGUGUGCCUCUUUUGGGGUCGGUUCACAGGUGGUGCAUGCCUGUCGUCAGCUCGUGUCGUGAGAUGUUGGGUUAAGUCCCGCAACGAGCGCAACCCUUGUUCACUGUUGCCAGCACGUUAUGGUGGGGACUCAGUGGAGACCGCCGGGGUCAACUCGGAGGAAGGUGGGGAUGACGUCAAGUCCUCAUGCCCCUUAUGUCCAGGGCUUCACGCAUGCUACAAUGGCUGGUACAGAGAGUGGCGAGCCUGUGAGGGUGAGCGAAUCUCGGAAAGCCGGUCUCAGUUCGGAUUGGGGUCUGCAACUCGACCUCAUGAAGUCGGAGUCGCUAGUAAUCGCAAAUCAGCAACGCUGCGGUGAAUACGUUCCCGGG
rnacentral:rRNA from 1 species